rnacentral:lncRNA from 1 species
CGGGCGGGCGAGUCUCCGGGGGCGGGGAAAACGCCCUCUCGGCUGGCGCCCGGCGGGGCUCCGGGGCUCCGGGGCUCCGGGGCUCCUCUCCCGCCGCCCGGCUCCCCUCGGCCCACGGCAGGGCCCCGGUGUCCUGGGCUGGCAGCGAAGCUCGGAGCUCUGGGCGUGCGGCGGCUGCGGUGGCUCCUGGGCUCCUCCGUCCAACCCGGGCCGCGGAGCCUCUACGCGCACCCCAUCCCCCUCCCGGCUGCGGAGUCUGGCGGCGGCGGGGACUGCUCGGGACCCGGACCCCCGGCGCCUUUCGUCCCCUGUCCCCAUUGUGACCUGUCUCUUGGCCCCGGAGCCCUCCCGCCCCACCCGCGCCGGGGUCUCCAGCGCGAAGGGCUCAGUCUCUGGUGUCCCCGGCCUGGGGCUGGCAAGCUGGGUUAGGAGCUAUGACCUUGGGGCAAAUAGGGAUACGAUCCUAGAGGCGCAGGGGAGCGCGCAGCAUGAGUGCUGAGAGGCACGCGCCCUCUGCUGCACGGCCGUGGAAUAAAACGAGACAACGGCCCCACAGUCCCCUGCCCGCAGCCCACGCUCGGGCGAGCCUGGAGGAUUGCAUUUCCUCGUAGGCUGGCAGAGCCUUACAUGAAGCGCUCAUCUUCUCCUACUUUCCUCCUCUUUAAAAAAUUAACGUGGGAAACAUUUUCCUGGGCAUCUAAAAGUAUUGUGGACCUGAGACACUGUGCUUACAGGGCCUACUGGGUUGAUUCUAAAGAAGAAAGAAAAUCUAUAUGCAUGAAAAGAUGUCUUAAAAAGUUUUGAACUACUCAAAGUUAAGAUUUGGGGAAAUAGAAAUAGUAUAUAACUUAAGAAAAUUGCCACUGGCUGUGAACCCCCAUGGCAUUUUCUUUGCACUUUUUUGCUUCUCGUUAGAUUGUAUGUGUUUUUACCAUUUCACACAAACUUUUAAAGAUUAUUCCACGCCGUUAGCUCUGUGCUUCUAUUAGUGUCUCUAUCUCUCUUUCUCUCUCUCUUCCAUCUGAGUACAAUGGCUAGAAAAUAAUACACACUUGAAUGAAUAAAUGUCAUUUAAAUAUUUUAAUAAACAGAAGGAAUAGUACAAUAUAUUUCCCUUGACCAAUGUAUUGUGAUUGCUUUUUUCUUUCUUUUUUUUUAAAUCUUUUGCUGUCUUUGACCAAGCCAAAAGAGUUACAACCAAAUUCAAAAA